GUUAUAACAAGUUGGAGUGCAUUAGUUGUGGUAAUAUAUUUUGUACAAAAUAGUGUAUUUUGUUGUUAAAGGUAAGUACUUUACUAUUCUGGUUUACUAUUUUCCUCCAGUUACAAAAGUACACUUUCCAGGCGGAUAAUUACUUACUAUAAUUUGCCCAUGUCAUCUUUAAUUGUUAUGUUAAUGCAAUUUUUAUCACAGGGUGAUGAUAUGAAUAAUUUAAAUGAAAUUAUCAAGGUGGCUGCGCCAUGUGUAAUUGAAAUAGAGAGCGAUCCACAAACAAUUUAUCACGUAGUUUUAGAACGACAAGUAGUGAUUCCAAGUGUUGUCACUUUAAAAGAUGCAGUAUCUUGGGCGUUUGGAUUAUAUUUUAUAAUGAAUUUAGAAUAUCCAGACGAAGUAUCAGCAGUUUUGGAAAUGAUGCAAAGAUUUUUUUUGAAAAUACAUCCAGAUCAAGGAUCCAAAUCAAAAAGAAUAACACCAACAAAACGCAAAGUAAUUGGCCUUAUGAACAAAUUAAAUUAAUGUAAAAUAUAUACAACAUCAAUGACUUUGUUUUGUGUUUAUGAUUUUAUUACAUGUUUAUUAUGUUUUUCACCAUAAAAUAAAAGGUUCACUUUGUCCGA